AACAAACGCUGGCGGCGUGCCUAAUACAUGCAAGUCUAACGGGGAAAGCUUUCGGGUGAGUACUAGUGGCGCACGGGUGAGUAACGCGUGGAUAAUCUGCCCUCGAAUGGGGAAUAACUAGUCGAAAGAUUAGCUAAUACCGCAUAAGACCACGACUACGGAGGUAGUUGGGGUAAAAGGAGCAAUUCGUUUGAGGAUGAGUCCGCGUAAGAUUAGCUAGUUGUUGAGGUAAUGGCUCACCAAGGCGAUGAUCUUUAACUGGUCUGAGAGGAUGAUCUGUCACACUGGAACUGAGACACGGUCCAGACUCCUACGGGAGGCAGCAGUAGGGAAUAUUGGACAAUGGGGGCAACCCUGAUCCAGCGACGCCGCGUGAGCGAUGAAGGCCUUCGGGUCGUAAAGCUCUGUUGUAAGGGAAAAAGUUCUGAUUGUACCUUACGAGAAAGGAUCGGCUAACUUCGUGCCAGCCGCCGCGGUAAGAC
rnacentral:rRNA from 1 species